UACAAGUAGAGCACAUUUUAAAACCAAAACGUUUUUAUUUUUCCUUCUUCUGAUACAAAAGUUUUUUUUAAUAAACAUGUUUUUUAAGGUUUUAGACUCUUUUUUUUUCUACAAAGAUAAAUUAGCAUUUCUUAUAAUACAUUAAAAGACAUCAAACACCUGUUUCUCUUUACAAAAUAGUUCCUUUUCUAAAAGUACUUCACGGAGUUCUGGGGUUGGCAGUACCCAAAGGUCUUAGGUACUAACAGGUUAAAAUCACACUUCAAAAGGCACUUCCUAAACCACACCCUAUUCCUCAUAGUGUUUGACUUGAUCACUAUAUGGGGAAUGAUAAGGUUGCAUUUGAAACCUAUUAACUAGAGUGUUAUACAUUCAGACUCACAGAAACAGAGGACUUGUCUGGUAUAGAGACUGGCAACACAGUAGAGAGACAGGCUGCAGUAACACAGUAGAGAGACAGGCUGCAGUAACACAGUAGAGAAAGAGACAGGCUGCAGUAACACAGUAGAGAGACAGGCUGCAGUAACACAGUAGAGAGACAGGCUGCAGUAACAGAGUAGAGAGAGAGACAGGCUGCAGUAACAGAGUAGAGAGAGAGACAGGCUGCAGUAACAGAGUAGAGAGACAGGCUGCAGUAACAGAGUAGAGAGACAGGCUGCAGUAACAGAGUAGAGAGACAGGCUGCAGUAACACAGUAGAGAGACAGGCUGCAGUAACAGAGUAGAGAGAGAGACAGGCUUCAGUAACAGAGUAGAGGGAGAGACAGGCUGCAGUAACAGAGUAGAGAGAGAGACAGGCUGCAGUAACAGAGUAGGGAGAGAGACAGGCUGCAGUAACAGAGUAGGGAGAGAGACAGGCUGCAGUAACAGAGUAGAGAGAGAGACAGGCUGCAGUAACAGAGUAGAGAGACAGGCUGCAGUAACACAGUAGAGACAGGCUGCAGUAACACAAGAGAGAGACAGGCUGCAGUAACAGAGUAGAGAGACAGGCUGCAGUAACAGAGUAGAGAGACAGGCUGCAGUAACACAGUAGAGAGACAGGCUGCAGUAACAGAGUAGAGAGACAGGCUGCAGUAACAGAGUAGAGAGACAGGCUGCAGUAACACAGUAGACAGGCUGCAGUAACAGAGUAGAGAGACAGGCUGCAGUAACAGAGUAGAGAGACAGGCUGCAGUAACACAGUAGAGAGACAGGCUGCAGUAACACAGAGGCUGCAGUAACACAGUAGAGAGACAGGCUGCAGUAACAGAGUAGAGAGAGAGACAGGCUGCAGUAACAGAGUAUAGAGACAGGCUGCAGUAACAGAGUAGAGAGAGAGACAGGCUGCAGUAACAGAGUAGAGAGAGAGACAGGCUGCAGU
ensembl:lncRNA